UCUGUCAAACCGGAACAGCCACUGAAGUUCACCUUCACAAGAGAGUUCUGAAGUAGAUGUAGAAAGCCAGACUCUGUUACCCCCUUGAGCCCACACAGCUCAAUAUCUUCGAGCUGAGGGCAUAGCUUCCCAAGAGCAGCAAGGUUUGCAUCUCCAAAGCCAGGGCAGUUGCGAACAGACAGAGAGCGUAGACCACUUCGAUGAGAUGAAGCAGGUAACCCCGUGGCGAGAUCUCUAAUCCCCAAACAGUUCACCAUUGAGAAAGCCUUCAGCUUUGCACCACAGUUCAAAAGAGAACCAAAAAACCCAAACUGGGUGACCCUGUGGCACUCUUCAAGCUGAAUACUCUCCAAUGACAAAGAACCCUUCGCAAAAGAGACCAAACCGUUGUCAGAUAACAACGGGGAUUUACUGAUCAACGCCUUUUUCAUGUUCGGGCAUCCCUUCCCCACAGAUUCAAGCCCCGCGUCGGUCACUCCCUGGCAGGCUGUGAUGGUUAGAGAGUUCAACUUUUGCAGUCCGAUACCAUUUCCCAUCACCCAGAAUCCCUUCUCGGUCACGUGAGACAGACCAGCGAGCACAAGUUCAGUGACCGAGAAGCCGUAAUGACCCACGACAGCAAGAGACACAUCAGUGACAUUAACCAUCUGAAGCUUAAGCUUCGUCAGCGAACACGUGGUGUUAGACAGUAGCGCGGCGAUUCCUUGAUCCCUGACCAGAGGACAGUUCUUGAUAGACACCGACUUAAGCUUGGAGCAAGACCGUGCAACAGCUUGCAGGCCUUCAUCUCCGAUGCUCGAACAAGCCUCCAGUGUAAGCUCGCUCAAGUUAGGGCAGCUCUUGGCAAUCGCCACCAAACACUUGUCGGUGAUUGCAGGGCAACGGCUCAGGUCAAGCUUCUCAAGCUGAGGGCAGCCCUCGGCGAUCUCCAAGAGACCAAUAUCAGUAACAGCAGAAAGGGAGAGCCGAGAGAAGGGCAGCUCCGACCAAUCGACCUAAGACCAAGAUCCGAAACCUUGUCGCUUCCGCGAACAGAGAGUUUUCCGAGUCCACCACGGCCAGCAGUUCCAACAGCGAUGGCAGCUAGUCUAACAUCAGUAGCCUUCUUCCCAUCUAAGCUCCUAGAUAAGCAUCCUUCAGAGUCAUCUUCGGUUUUGUGGUAGUCUAGGAGAUACUCAAUCAUAAUCUCUAGACACUUUUUUAAUCCAUAAAACUCCAUUAUCUUCUUCCAAACCAAACUGCCAUUGCCUUCUCAUAUUUCCCACCAUUUUUUCUCCUUAUCGAGGUGAUUCUGUUCCGAACCAACUUAUCUAGCUUAAUUAGCAAUCAGACAAAGAGUUGGCUUUGACGGGUCACCCACUCUUCUGACGUUCCUCUCAUGCCAUAGUGCAUAAACCACAGCUUGGAAACAAUAUCGAAAUAGGAAUGUCAAAGUUUCUCUUGUAAUCUAUUUACAUAUGAACUGCCUGAGACCAUUGAUAUAAACUCCCAUUACCCGCCAUAUCUCUAAUAAUCUCACUCCAAACUUUUUUGGAAAAAGAGCACUCAAAAACAAUGAUUUCUAGUUUUUGUUGCAGAUUUACAAAGCCAGCAAGUGGAUAUAGCCUGAGGAUUCUAUCUCAAUAUCCUAUCCCAUGUCGCUAGCUUGUUGUGCAUUGCAAUCCAAGAAAGAAAAGAAAAUUUAGGAGUGGCUUCAGGGAACCAAAUUCCUUUGAACCAUGACACUUUCGGCGACUGGACUCUUGUAAGGUUCCAUGUUUGAGAUGUAAGGAAACCAGAUUUAAAUUCUCCAUUCUCUCUUUUCCAUAGACAGACAUCCUCCAACUGAUUAAGCCAUAUGUUUCUGAGAUCCACAAUUUCCUUUUCUAUCAGCCGAAGGACAGGAACUCUGUGUGUUCUGGUCCACAUAUCUGGAUAGCUCUUUCCACCGUAUAGUUUACUUGAAUACCAAGAUCCAUGCUUCCUCUAUCCCCCGUUAGCUCAAUUAAUUUACCCAGUGGCAAUCAUUUAUCAAACCAAAAGGAUGUAAUAGAGCUGCUGUUUAUCUCCACUCUAGACAAUUGCGAAGCCAAAGGUCUCAGUUUUAAUAACUUCUUCCAUAUCCAAGACCCUAACACACUCUUCUCCUUAACACUCCAGAAAGAACCUUUCCUGAUGAGAUAUUUCCACAUCCACACUGCCCACAAAGAUGAUCUAGCAGACAGUAUGUGUCAGAUAAGCUUUAGACAUGAUACUCUGUUUGCUUCAGUUAGAUUUCUCAGACCUAAACUUCUUUCGUCUUUCGGUUUACAAACAUCUGACCAUGCUAUUUUAGCUUUCUGAGUCGACAAGACCGGGCCAGACCAGAGAAAAGCGAGCAUAUACUAUUAGCUUCAUGUAUGCACUUAUUAGGCAAUCUGUAAGCCGACAUCCAAAAAUUUGUUAUACUAUAUAUAACAGAACUAAUGAAUUGUAGCUGACCUGCAAAAGAAAAAUGCCUUGCAGUCCAGGACGCAACUCUAGCUCUUAUUCUUGAUAUGAGAGCCGUAAUCUUGGACAUUCAUUUUCUUUGUUAAUAGAGGAAGAUCGAGGUAUCUUAAGAGAUCCAGUUUCAAAAGGGAAUUGUUCCAGAAUAGCAGUGCUAUCAUCUGUUAAAAUCUAUGCGAUCACUUUAAGAGUUAUCCGUCUGUCCACUUUGUUUUUUAUUCGUUUACAUGUGCUUUGGAUUUACCUUUUCUAAAAAAUCCAUGUUAUUCAACCUCUUCUACUCUCACUUACGAUCAAGAUUGUGUGGAAGAAGACGCUCAGCUUCCAAUGAUUCCUUGUCUCCACUUUGAGGGUUCAUAAUUUGGGAACUUGGCCCACUUAAUUAAUGAUUAAGAUUAGUCAACAAAUAACAAUAAUAGCGACAACGAAUACUCUUAAUAAUGACUCGCUUUCUUACUUUAUUAUAAUCCCACUCAAAUCAUAUCGUAUCCACACAAAUAUAAUCGUUGGCCAGAUUCUUCUCAUCAACCACAUUCAUUGAACUAGACCACAUUUCGUUUUUGAAUGGGACACACACAAACGUAGAUCAAAGUCAAAAAGUCAUGUUUUCACAUACAAUCUGAUUCUCUGUCCCAUAUACAGUCUUAAAGGUGUAAUAAUUUCUCAGAUCUCGUAAGGAUAUCAAAAAUAAAAUAUAACGAAAUGAGAAUUUUAUUCAAUACUUCAUUAAACCAUCCCAAAGAGCAUAUACAUAACUUAGUACAGUUGUUCAUACAGAUCGUAAUACAGUGCCAGGGAAAAAAAAACGAGGGCUCUGGAAAAAAAAAACAACAAGAAAAAACUCUUUAAAGAGUUUGUUGCAACAAAAGCCAGAGCAAACCUCUAAGAAAGAACCCAUGGCAACCUGAACAAAAUCUUGAACACGUGUACACAUCACACAGACCCUUUCGAGGAAAACCAAACAUGAACAAGACAAGCGACGCAAAGAAAACGAAACAUACCAAACAGGAGAUGAUAAACCCUAAAAUCUCGGUAAUACCCGGUAAGUAUAAUCUCAAGCAACCACACGACAUUCCGGUUUCAUGGUAAGCUAGAGUUCCCCUGAUCAAAAGGGAAACCCCUGCAAAAACAACAUUAACUGGAAAAAGAAACCGGAAGCCGAACUACUUGGAAAAAAAGGGUAAUACUGAGCAUAGCGAGAGAGAGACACGCGCCUGAAAAAGAGCUGACACUUAACUUGGAACAGUACUAAGAUACCUUCAUUAUAGGUGGAUAGAGUUGAACGUGGAAUUGGUGGAUCAGGAGAGGAUGUCACAUUUGUAAAGCCUCUCGAGUAAGAAAUCGACAGUGGAACAGGACACUGAUCGACACUGUUGGAGAUUUAACCCCAAUAAAGUCGAACCCAACUUAACGAUGGAUGGUAAGCUCUUGUCAGUGACCAUAGCGCAACCUGCCAUGGAUAGGAUCUGAAGUUUGAGUUUUUCAGAGGAAGCCAAUGCUUGAAUCCCAAAAUCAGAGACCGAGCAUUUCGAAAGAUCCAAAUCACUUAGAAUCUGGCAGUUUGCUGCAAUAGAGACUAGACUGGCGUCAGAGAUCUUGCUACAUCCAUCCAUGUUCAAGACUUCGAGAGUCAAACCGUUGCGAGCAGAGAUGGCAGAGACGACUCUGUCUGUCAAACCGGAACAGCCACUGAAGUUCACCUUCACAAGAGAGUUCUGAAGUAGAUGUAGAAAGCCAGACUCUGUUACCCCCUUGAGCCCACACAGCUCAAUAUCUUCGAGCUGAGGGCAUAGCUUCCCAAGAGCAGCAAGGUUUGCAUCUCCAAAGCCAGGGCAGUUGCGAACAGACAGAGAGCGUAGACCACUUCGAUGAGAUGAAGCAGGUAACCCCGUGGCGAGAUCUCUAAUCCCCAAACAGUUCACCAUUGAGAAAGCCUUCAGCUUUGCACCACAGUUCAAAAGAGAACCAAAAAACCCAAACUGGGUGACCCUGUGGCACUCUUCAAGCUGAAUACUCUCCAAUGAC
rnacentral:lncRNA from 1 species